rnacentral:rRNA from 1 species
CCUACGGGCGGCUGCAGUGGGGAAUAUUGGACAAUGGGGGCAACCCUGAUCCAGCCAUGCCGCGUGUGUGAAGAAGGCCCUCGGGUUGUAAAGCACUUUCAGUGAGGAAGAACGCCUGGUGGUUAAUACCCAUCAGGAAAGACAUCACUCACAGAAGAAGCACCGGCUAACUCCGUGCCAGCAGCCGCGGUAAUACGGAGGGUGCGAGCGUUAAUCGGAAUUACUGGGCGUAAAGCGCGCGUAGGUGGCUUGAUAAGCCGGUUGUGAAAGCCCCGGGCUCAACCUGGGAACGGCAUCCGGAACUGUCAAGCUAGAGUGCAGGAGAGGAAGGUAGAAUUCCCGGUGUAGCGGUGAAAUGCGUAGAGAUCGGGAGGAAUACCAGUGGCGAAGGCGGCCUUCUGGACUGACACUGACACUGAGGUGCGAACGCGUGGGUAGCAAACAGGAUUAGAUACCCUUGUAGUC